AUUAACAAGAGUGAUGGCAGCAGUGAGGGAAACUGAAAAACACAGAAGCAUCAAGUCAUUUUUCAUAGAAUGAUUUAUCAUUUACCUGGGGAUGGACACUGUCAAGGUAGCCCAAGAUGCUGGGAUAAAACAAAAUGUGAGCUGUGGGCAGGUCUUAUCUAAACCCCGCCCCUCACUCCUGCUGCUGAGGUGGCUGUGGAGAGUUCUGGGAAAAACAACAAAGGCAAUAGAGGAAAAAGAGAGGGGGGAGGGCGGACCAUGAGCUCACCCCCUGAAUGCUGGCCAAGUCGAUAGUCAGAUCUGGCCUGCAUAGCAGCAGAAAGCAAAGGAGAGACAGAAAGAGUGAGAGAGGGAGGGUAGAAGAGGACGAAUCCCUCCGCCGAGCCUGUCUUCACAUCAGCAGCAGAAAAAAAAGAAAACAAAACCAUAUUCUUACGCAAUGCUGAAAGUCCUGUGCUGCAGGCAAACAACAUGAAACAGCUGAGAAACUCUUGCCGUCUCACCUCAGCCUCACCAUUACAUUCAGGAAAACACCAGCAGACUUGCUGAGCAAAGCAUGCUAUAACUUUCAUGUGUCUCAGAGAAAAAGAAAUGAAAAUUAACGUCUCUGAUAUUUCAAACAAACACGCUGGAUUGGUCCGUCACAUAAUGAAAUUUCACAGGCAAAAAAUAAAUAAAUAAAUAAAUAACAAUUGUCUAUCAUCAAUAGUGUAAUGAUUUGUCACUGUCUAUCCAAGGGGUUUUCUGUUCAUCAUUCACUGUUAUUCCACCGGUCAGUAUUGUGACCAUCAACAUAUUUACUCAUUCUAUGACCACACUCAACAAAACUGAAUAUAUGUCAAUUCAUAUAUUACUAGACACCUUAAAGAUAAUGUGGACCAAAAAUCUUUGUCAUAUCAUGUAUUAACAUACCUUUCGUUUUGGAGCUUUGAUGCAGCCGUCAUCUACUCAAGGUGCAAACCAGAAUUAAACUGCUCUGGUCAUGUGACAGUUUGCACUAGCUAUGUGACAGUGUACAUAUUUAAUUGAGACCCUUCAUUAUUUCAAUAUUUGCAGGAAAUGCACUAAGUAGAAAAAAGAUUAAGUAUAAAUUCAGCAACACCAAAGCUCCAAAAGUAUCAAAUAUUUAUUUAAAAAACUUUCGCAUAGCGUGUGACAUUUCGAGCAUGCAGCCUCUUCAUCAGACAGUUUCUGAC
ensembl:lncRNA